GGCUGCAUAGCUCAGCUGGCUAGAGCAUUCGGUUCAUACCCGACAGGUCAAUGGUUCAAAUCCGUUUGCAGCCACCA
rnacentral:tRNA from 2 species